rnacentral:other from 1 species
GCGGUGCUGCGGGGCUCGUGAGGAUUACUAUCCCCGGGGCCUUAUCGAUCUCAACGGGAGCUGUCCCCGCCCUUGUCCGUGGACUUGGGCAUACGGCGCCCACCUACAUUGUAGGUUUCCCGGGAUCGACCUCCCACGGCCUUGGCGGCUCCGCA